CCCUGGGACAAAAGUCUAAGAGAUAUACAGUGCAAAGCCUCCGUGGACAUAAGAAGUAGACUUGUUACCAUGAUGUAAGCCCUGAGAGGGCAGGGACUGAGCCUUAUCUUUGGAUCUUCAGAGCUUUGCAGUGUCUGGCACAUAUUAGGUAUAUGAGACAUGUUUCCCAAAUAAAUGAACUCAAUCUUGCCCAAUCCCCACCAGCUGGUUGUAUGAAUGAGGGUGAGGUCACAGAAUGGGGAUAACUCAGAUUUCUUUGACAACUCUGGAUAAUGUUGGGCCUCAGCACCAAAAGUGGCCCCCUCCCAAAUCAUUCUAGUUACUUCCAGGAUCUUACAGAGAGUUUAAUCUGUGUUUCCGUACUGUACUCUCUUUUUCUUCCAUUCUGGUCUUUAUCCAAUGUUUUGAGAGGGACAGCACUUCAGUCAUGCCCACUCUGCAGACCACCACCUUCUCUGUGAGUACAGUGUACCUUCCUAGGUGCUUUUCUCCGUGUCCGCAAAGCUGCUACAAUGGAGACCAUGAUGGUGUCAUGGUCCCUUCUGACCUCUGGGAUUGAAGCCUUAUUGAUACUACAGAGAACUGUGGAGAAUGGCCUUUUGCCCUCCAUGGUCAUACACAUUUUUAAGUAUGAAGAAAAAUAUUAUUAUGACUGAUGCUAUGAACUUAGUGUGGCCCCACCAAAAUCAUACAUUGAAGCCCUACUCCCCAGUGGGAUGGUAUUUGGAAGAGGGGUCUUUGGGAGGUAAUUAGGUAUUGGGGGGGGGUGGAGCCCUUGUGAAUGGGAUUAGUGCCCGUAUAAGACGAGAUAUGAAAUUGAGAUCCCUCUCUUAACCAUCUGAAGAUACAAUAAGAAGGUAGUCUUCUGCAACCCAGGAAGAGAGCCCUAACCAGAACCCAUCCACGCUGGCACCCUGAUAUUGGACUUUCAGCCUUGAGAAGUGUGAGAAAGUAAGUGUUUGUUGUUUAAGCCACCCAGUCUGUGGUAUUCUGUUAUAGCAGUUCAAGUUGACUAAGACAGCUGGUUAAAGAUA
rnacentral:lncRNA from 1 species